rnacentral:rRNA from 1 species
AGUGAACGCUGGCGGUAGGCCUAACACAUGCAAGUCGAACGGCAGCACAGUAAGAGCUUGCUCGUACGGGUGGCGAGUGGCGGACGGGUGAGGAAUACAUCGGAAUCUACUUUUUCGUGGGGGAUAACGUAGGGAAACUUACGCUAAUACCGCAGACGACCUACGGGUGAAAGCAGGGGAUCUUCGGACCUUGCGCGAUUGAAUGAGCCGAUGUCGGAUUAGCUAGUUGGCGGGGUAAAGGCCCACCAAGGCGACGAUCCGUAGCUGGUCUGAGAGGAUGAUCAGCCACACUGGAACUGAGACACGGUCCAGACUCCUACGGGAGGCAGCAGUGGGGAAUAUUGGACAAUGGGCGCAAGCCUGAUCCAGCCAUACCGCGUGGGUGAAGAAGGCCUUCGGGUCGUAAAGCCCUUUUGUUGGGAAAGAAAAGCAGCAGGUUAAUACCCCGCUGUUCUGACGGUACCCAAAGAAUAAGCACCGGCUAACUUCGUG